rnacentral:rRNA from 1 species
AACGAACGCUGGCGGCGUGCCUAACACAUGCAAGUCGCAUGGGAUUAGGGGCUUGCUCCUAAUCUAGUGGCGCACGGGUGAGUAACGCGUCGAUAAACUGCCUGAUGAUCUGGCAUACCAGUUCGAAAGGACUGCUAAUACCGGAUAAGCCCACGGGUACGUUGGAAUCUCCCGGAGAAGGGGGGGACCUUUUGUCCUUCUGUCAUCAGAUGAGUCGGGUGACCAUUAGCUAGUUGGUAGGGUGAAGGCCUACCACGGCGACGAUGGUUAGCGGGUCUGAAGGGAUGAUCAGCCACACUGGAGAUGGGACACGGUCCAGACUCCUACGGGAGGCAGGAGUGGGGAAUUUUGCGCAAUGGGCGAAAGCCUGACGCAGCAACGCCGCGUGAGUGAUGAAGGCUUUCGGGUCGUAAAGCUCUGUCAGGGGGAAAGAAAUGUAUUGUGGCUAAUAUCCACGAUACUUGACGGUACCCCCAAAGGAAGCACCGGCUAACUCCGUGCCAGCAGCCGCCGUAAUAC